CCCCUCCUUCCUAAGAUCGUUGCAUUUCAAGGGCUCCUUGAAAUUGUUAAAUACAGAAAGUUUGAAAAAGAAUGUAAGUGAUUUCCAGCCUGGGUCCCAGAUUGGUUCCCCAGUUGGCCUACCCAAAGGAAUGAGCCUCCCACCAUUGCUGACAACGCUUAACUCAAAACUAGUCUCUGCUGGGGAUUCAGUUGUGGAAGAGAUACUGCACAACAACUUCAGCUGAAGCAAAUCUCCACCAAAGCACCAGAAACCAGGAGCCUGAACCAUCCGUUGGAACAUGAAGAGAAACCAGAGACUGUUGCAGGCGGGCCACUUGGAGAGGAGGAUGGCACAGCUACGUCAUCUUCCCUCUCUCCCAGGAGCUUCUACCACCAGCAUCUUCCUCGCUCUCCGAGGCAGCGUCAGAUCUGAGGUCAGCAGUGGCACACUCUACAAACCUUUGCAGCUUUGGGCGUGGUUACCUUCUGCUUGGAGAACACGGGGCAAAAGAUGUAGGGGAUACCUUGGGGCCUGGAGGGUGUCAGUCACCUGCAGAUGUUCAGCAUUGGGGGUUACACUGAGCCCGUGCCAUGUGACAGAGGGCCUUCUAAAGUGAUGGGCCCAGGACCCCGCCCACCCAGGGUGAUGGCCAGUACUGCACUUCUUGCUAAAUAACCAUAUAAAUAUUACUGUAGUGGAUUGAAUAGUGGUCCCCGAACAGAUAUACCCACAUCCUAGUCCCUAGAACCCGUGAAUGUGACCUUAUUUUUGCAGAUGUGUUAAAUUAGGGGUCUCGAGAUAAGAUCAUUCUGGAUUAUCUAGGUAGGCCCUAAAUACAAUAAUGUGUCCUUCUAAGAGACAAAUAGAAGAGAGACAGAGGGAGAAGGGGAGAAGGCUGCAUGAACUUGGAGGCAGAGACUGGAGCGAUGCAUGCAGCCCCAAGCCAAGGAAUGCCCACAGCCGCUGGAAGCUGCUAGAGGUGGGGAAGGAUACUCCCCAGAGCCCUCAGGGGAGCACCGAGCUGCCAACACCUUGCUUUCAGACUCCUGGUCCCUAGAGCUGCAAGAGAAUAAAUUUCUGUUGUGUUAAGUUACCAAAUUUGCGGUAAUUCGUCAUGGCAGCCCUAGGAGAUGAGGGCUAAGUACAAUUUCCCACAAUGUCCAGCAUUUGUCAGGGCUGAUUGUGUACCAGGCACUCUGCUGAGCCCUCUCUACAAGCAUCAUCUCACUUAAGCCUCACAAGGCACUGUUCUCACCCUCACUUUACAGAGGAGCGGAGAGAGGUUCUAAAAGGCAGGAAGCUGGCCCGAGGCCACGUGGCCAGGAAGCUGGGAUCUGAACCCAGGUCCGUCUGCUGCAAAGAUCUUAGAGCACCCGGAAGCCUCCUCGCCUGGUGACACAGCCGGCUGUAAGAUGGAUUUACCCUGUGCUUGGUGGCUUCUAGCUGAAUGUCACCUCCUCUUUGUCCCCCUACUUAAAAGAGGCCCACAUCUUUUAGCACUCUCUGCUCUAACCCUCGGCAAUUUACCACCACCUCAGAAGUGAGAUAUAAAUUACAACAGACCAUUCUUCUAACUCAACCGAUCAUGGGAACACUGUUUGCUGUUACAAAGAAACAUUCUAGGCAUACACAAUCACGCCUAGUUCUUUGCAUCUAUUUAUCCUCGGGGUCAUUCGGGUUUAUUCGCACACAUUGCCAAGAUGAAUCAGAAAUCUGGAGAAACCAUUUGUUCUUGGAGAAGGACAGCAGUCAGGAGGGUUUUUUGUUAGUUUCUUUUUGUUGAUUUUGAAUUUGUAUGAAGACUAUGUCCCGGUCCCAGGAGAAAACAGACAGAAAAGUUUGUUUUCUUAAGACUUAAAAUAUAUUCUCUGAGCUCACUAAGCCAUCAGAACAUGCCGCUGGGCUCUGACGAUGGCGUGAUUUAGGGAGUAAGCAUUUCUUUCCGCUCUAUGUUUGCCCUGUCUUUUGGGGACUAGAAGAGAUUGUUGUCCAUCUGCUGACAAGCCCCAAAACUGUGUGUGUGUGUGUGUGUGAGUGUGUGAGUGUGAGUGUGUGUGUGGUGUGGCUGGGGGAAGGGGGUCUGGAUGAGGUGGUUACUUUUAUGUUGUUACCCUUCAUUUAUUUUCUUUCAAACAAAAGCUACCCCAUUUCACAGGUGGAAACACUGAGUCCUGGUGGAUGGAAACGAUGUUCUCCAAGGUAACUCAACCAGACAGACUUAACUACAAAUGCCAUGCUGUCCUCUCAAGAAACCAUUCCAUUUAGUGAAAACGAGACCGGUUAUGCAAUGAGUUUGAGGCUAAUUUUAAAGCAAGUCAUGUGUCCUUCCCGUUGCUCUGACCCAAAUACGAGACAGGGACUCAAAGUUGCACACAAAGAAUACCCAAAACAAUCAGGACACUCGACAUGAGCCAUCUGGUUGAUGACGGGAAUGCAAGCGUCAUUUUUCAGCCACCGCAAGGCUCCGGCACUGGGGACUCGUUCAGCGUUCCAGUUAGGACACCGCCCGGAGACUGUGCCAGGGACCGGCCCCAGGUCGCUAGUUCUGUCUGCAGCCAGAUUUCUAGAGCAGUAAAGAGAAGCUAACCUAACCUCUCUCACAAAGGUGGCUUUGUGCUGUGCUGACCAACAGCAGUUAAUAGGGGUUUGAAGCCAGGGCCGGGGGCUUUCUCCUGAGGGCUGACGGGAGGGGAAGGACAGAGUCCUUAAGGGGCAGACACGCGUGAGCGCAGACAGAAGGUGUGGCCUGAUGCAACGAAAGUCUACGCUGAUCCCGCCUUUCUGAACCCCUUCUCCUGUCCAGGUCUGCAGCGCGCCGUCACUGGGCCCGGGCCCUAGGGCUUCCCUCUUCUCUCACGUCUCUCAACCAAAACCCGCUGGGAAAGAAGACGAGAAAUUCAUCCGCAUCAAGGAGAACGGACAAAUUUAUCUUCCUGGGAGCGUCCCGGAAAAAUAAUGGGUCUCUGGGCAGUUUCAGGUAUCCGAGAAGUCAGGUCGGAGGGGUGGGAUCUGCUCUGGGGGCAGGGAGUGUUGGGGGGCCUGGGGCUGGAAAGUCGGGGGAAGGCAGGACGGGCAUUUUCAGAAAGGCAGGCAGAAGUCAUCAGAAGAGUCCAGGGGCCGGCCGGUGGCGCAGCUGUUAAGUGCGCACGUUCCGCUUCUCAGCGGCCAGGGGUUCGCAGGUUCGGAGCCCGGGUUUGGAGACAGCGCUGCUUGGCAAGCCAUGCUGUGGUAGGCGCCCCGCCUAUAAAGCAGAGAAAGAUGGGCACGGAUGUUAGCUCAGGGCCAGGCUUCCUCAGCAAAAAGAGGAGAACUGGCAGUAGUUAGCUCAGGGCUAAUCUUCCUCGGGGACGGGGAAUAAAAGAAAGGAGUCCUGGGCCCGGCCCCGGGUGGAGUGGCUAAGUUUGGGCGCUUCGCUUCAGCGGCCCAGGGGUUCCCGGGUUGGAAUCCUGGGCGGAGACAUGGCACUGCUCAUCAGGCCACGCUGAGAUGGUGUCCCACAUGCCACAACUAGAAGGACCCACAACUAAAAAUAUACAAGUAUGUGCUGGGAGGCUUUGGGAGAAAAAGGAAAAAUAAAAUCUUAAAAAAAAAAAAAAAAAGAGAGAGAGAGUCCAGCAGCAGAUGAAGGAGCUAAGGAGGCAGAGAGCAGAAAACCUUGAAGUCUAAACUCCCUUUGGGAGUUACCCGCUUUUCCUUAAAGUAAAAGAUUUAAGAAAACCGAGUGUGUAUAUAAAGCUCACUCUAUACUUUCAUUCAUUCAUCCAUUCCAAUGAAAUGGUAUUUCCUGUGUUCCAGAUACCAGAGAGAGAGCCAGGAAGAAGAUAUGUCAGAUCUAUGCAUGGAACCACGGAACUUUCUGUCUGGCUAGCAGGGGAGGCUAACAAACAGAACUUCAUGUGGAUGUUUUGAAACAAGAAAGCAGGGUAAGGAGAUAAGGGAGCGAUGGAGCCCGAAGGCAGCUGAGGGGCCCGCAGUGUCUGGCUGAGCUGGUGAGGAAGGGCAUCCUUUGUAGGGUUGCCAGGUCUAGCAAAGAAGAACACGGGGCACCUAGUCGCAUUUGAGUUUCAGAUAAACAGUGAAUACUCUCUCAGGAUAAGUGUGCCCCGUGCAAUAUUUGGGACAUACAUGUAACUAAAAAUUGCCAUUUGUCUGAAAUUCAAAUGUAACUGGGUGUCCUGCAUUUUAUCUUGCACCUCUACUGCCCUGGGGCCCCCAGGAACGAGGUGGGGAGAGAAACAGUCAGCCCAAAGAUUGCCAGGCAGAAAUGGGCUUGGCUCUUGUUCCAGUGUGGCUGGAAUAGAGGGAGGCAGGGAGACGAUGGUAGAGAUGACCCCACAGAGGCAGGCCCGCUAGGAAGAGUUUGCGUUUUAUCCCGAUCAGUAGAAUUUUAGGGAACACCCUCACACUGCAAUUCUUCAUUUCCAUGAAUAUUCCAGUUUAGUAUUGUGUUUCCCGAAGCAGGUGCCACUGACCUUGCUUUAAGGCCAGACUUUAGAAUGGGAGACUAGGUGUCCCUGCCCUGGGUGUCUCACCUAAAUUUACCUGACCUCCCCUCUCUCUUUUCACCCCAUUCACUAUUGUCUGCAGUUUUCCUAGUGCUAGACAGUCAUCGUACCAUAAGAAAUGAACUUAAAAUGCUACUGGGAGAAGAGAUUUAGGGACUCAAAUUCUCACUAGUGUGUAAAUGACUAUUAGAAAGUGUUUUGAAAGUGAGGAAGGGAAGAGCGUAUAGCACAGGUCAAGGGAAGGUGGGAAAAGAAUAAAAAAGGGAAAUUUGAGGGCGCUAAUGCCAAGCUUGACCAAUUUGCCUUGCUGUGACCCUGAAGCUGAGCGUUGGCUGAGCAGAACUGCAAACCAGUUCUCCCCACUCUCGGUGUGGAGAUGACCAAGAGUCUGUCGUGGAAGAGAGAUUCAGAGCCAGGCCGGCUGCGAACCGAUACUGCCAGAUGGCAGAGCAGUCAAAAUAUUUAGCUGUGAAGCCCACACUGUGUUCGGGAAGAGGCUGAACUCACCUUCCUGCCGCAGACCCUGGUGGGCUCCCGUCUGUGGGUGCUGCCUGCCUCCUCAGCCGGCCGCUUCGGUGACUCACUGAGUGGCUCACUGAGUGACUCACUGAGUGACUCAGGCUGGGCUCUGGUGGUUCAUCCCUGGCAGGGAUUUAGCCAGCUGAACCAGCUUCCUCUCCCGCCUUCUAGUAAAAGAUAUCCUGUGUCGAAAACAGAGCCUUGACUGUACUUCUGUGAGAACGGCCCUACCUUGCUUCCGGGGAAUGUGGGGUUUUCUGGACCCAAUAACACACAGAAAAGCAAUAUUGCUCUCCAUGUUAUAGAGGGGAAACAUUGUGAGAAGACGGGCUUGCCCAGGUUCCGAGUGCUGGCGGGUGCACUUGAACGCCCGAGUCUUUUCUAUCACACUGAGGGUGGUGAGUCCAUUUGAAGAUUCCUUAAUGACGUGUGCAAGAUUGCAUAACUACUUGCUGCCCUCUGAAACUGAAACGUUCUUUUUCUAUAAAAUCAUGGUUUAGAAACCAAGAGCAGAAUCUACAAGGGAGAAGUUGUUUCCCCCCAUGUUUUGAAAAACAUUCAUUUCAGAUAAUGAAUCCCUGGGUGAUGGACUGGUUGAUUCUUUCAAAAGAAUUUAAUGACCCCUCCAUUAUACAAAUAAGAAGCGUUUAUUGCAGAAACUUUGGAAAAGUUAGAAAAAAACAAAGGGAAAAAUAAAAAUCACCCGUCAUUCUCCUAGUUAGAUAUAAUUGUUGUUAUUUUGAUGUGUGGCCAGCCCUGGUGGUCUGGGUUAAGAUGUGGCGCUCUCACUGCACGGCCCAGGUUUGUCUCCCAUCAGGGACCACACCACCCAUCAGUCGUUGUCACACUGCGGCAGCUGUGUGUUGCUGAAAGCUCUGCCACCGGGAUUUCAAAUACCAGCAGGGUCACCCAUGGUGGACAGGCUUCAGUAGAGCUUCCAGACUCCGACAGACUAGGAAGAAGGAGCUGGCCAGGCACUUCCAAAAAUUUUGACCAUGAAAACCCUGUGAAUAGCAGCAGAGCAUUGUCUGAUGCAGUGCCGGAAGGUGAGAGGAUGGCGCAGAAACACCCGGCAGGGUUCCGCUCUGCUGUACGCAGGGCCGCUAGGAGUCGGAAUCCAUUCCACGGCACAAACGACAAAAAUUUUAAUAUGUAUCCUUCCUUUUUUCAUACACAUGUGACCAUAUUUUAACAAAUUGGAAAAAAUGUGCUAUAAACUGAUGAAUGAUACUUCCAUGAGCGUUUUCUCACAUCAGUUUCUUUCCAAGCGUCUUUGAUCCAUAGCACACACUCUAUCCUACGGAUGGUGUACUUCAUUUACUCCACCUAUUGAGACUUUUAGCCUGUUACCAUUUUUUUUAUUAUAAACACCACCACAACAGGCUUGCUUGGUCUUAUAAAUAUUUAGUGAUGUUUCCACCCGGCCAUUUGUAUGGGCUUUGGUUUGAGAAAAACUGAAAAUGGAAGAACAGAGAAGGUUAAUAGACAUUAGUUUGAUUUUUGUCUGGCGGAGAAGGGAGAGAAGGAAGGGCAGCCAUCUCAAGUGUCCCCUCUGUAAAGGUCGUUUCCGUCCCCCGGGCUCUUAAUUCUGUUUGUCUGACUUGCCUCCUGUGCGCUUUACCAUCUCCGUCUCCCCACAGCUCCUCACCUUCUCGCCACCCUGUCACAAUCUCUGUUUGCCCUCAUCACACUCUGGGGGCUCUCCUCAGGGCCUCCCUGGUCUUGCCCGCUGUUGAUGAAGGUUUUCUGUGUCUCGACUCAGUGCCUGAGAAGUUAUUUCUAAGAGCAGCAAGUGAAGGAUCCCGGCACAGUGUAUGAAGUCAUGCCCAUAAAGCUCUUCGGCAAAUCACUGCAUUGUUCCACCCGUUGGGUACAGCCCGCAAUGCGGCUGCAACUGACCGGGCCCAAAGACAAGCAACAGUGGUGUGACCUCUGGACUUGUCUAAUUUCUCCACUGGACUAAGCAACUGCCCCUCCAUUCCCUUCCCAUCAGGCACUAUCAGUGUGUCAGCUCUAAUAACAACUAGAAAAAUGGGGACAAUCGUUAUUCCCAAGCUACAAUUUGAGAAACAUCUAAGAGAGUCAUAAAAUCGAAUAAGGCUCAGCAGAGUGCCUUUAGGAAAAAAAAAAAACCAUCUCAUUUGUUGCAGGUUCUUAAAAUAGUUCCCAAUGCUGUCCUCCACCUUCACAAUUAUUUUUGUCUUCAGUUCUAAAUCUGAAUGGCACAGAGCAGCAGAAUUUAUACAUUUAAGUUCAUAAGAGAACAGACAGCUCAUUAAUUCUUAACGUUGGUGGGAUUUGACUGUUUGCCAUCGUAUGCUCCAUUCCGAAAUAUGUCUGGGUCUGCUUUUCUGAGAUGAUUAAAGUGUCUUAUUGAUAACCUUGCGGCUGUUAAGAACACGGUGCCCUUCACGUAUGAGACAAGGUUACACGCCCCUCCCACCCAAGGGAGGGUGUGGGCAACAUCAACACGAAUCAUCUCACGUUUAUCCAUUCACAACUUCAUUUAGUCAAAUAUUUGAGAUUUUCCCAUGUGCCAAGCAAGAGAAAAAGCCCUUGUCUUCCAAGGGGGAGACAAAUAAGCAAAUUUGUAACAUAAUGAAAAUGUUACAAAAAAAAUAAAGCCAAGUAAGAGAAUGGAGUGUGUGGGGGGAUGGGGGUGGUACUUUAGAUCUGGUAGUUAGGGAAGGCCUCUUUGGGGAGGUGGCAUUUAAGUGCAGGAACGAGGCAUGGAAAUAACUAUCAGGAGGAGCAAGGCCAAAGCCCUCGAGAUGGGAAAGGCUCCACGAGAGAAGGGGAGCAGCGAAGAGGUGAGGGUAGCUGAACGCAGCGAGGCAGGGAGAGGGAGAGCUGAGGGGGCCGGGAGCCAGCUCAACGAGAGCCUGUCAGCCACGGACCUUGGUCUGCUCCACCAUGCUCUCUCCCAAGUGCCAAUUCACUGCAGACUCUCACGGUCCCUGAAUCCAGCGGUGACCACCUUGGGUCCCGGCAAGCUGGAAGCCCUUAGGGAUUCCUGGGAAAGCUCUGGGUCCUGUAAAGUGGUCACUGCGGCUGCCAGGCCCACCCUUUUGGUGGUUUUACAAUUCAGAUGAGCUGCUCCUACAGCCUAGGUCUGCUGCUAUACCACCACCUCACUUAACCAUCGACUGCUGUGUGGGGAUCACAGUUCCUGAGUCCUCCUGUAGACCAUGUGAUCUGUAUGUAUUUCCCCCCAUCCUAGAGAAGGAGGCUGAGUUUCAGGAGGUUAGGGACAAGGUCACAUUGUGCCUUAGUCAGUUCAGGUUGCUAUAACAAAGUACCACAGACCAGGUGGCUUAUAAAAUCUGUUUCUUGGUCGCUCUGGAGGCUGGAAGUCUGAGAUCACGGUGCCAGCACAGGUGUCGGUGGGACCCGCUUCGGGUUGCAGACUGCCAGCUUCUCACUGAAUCCUCAUAUGGAGGAGAACAGAAAGAAGUGGCAAGCUCUCUUGUGACUCUUCUAAGGGCACUAAUCCCACUCGUGAGGGUUCCACCCUCACGACCUCAUCUAAUCCUAAUUACCUCCCAAAGCCCGUCUCCUAAUACCAUCACGUUGAGGGGUAGGGUUUCAACACAGGAAUUUGGGGGGACACAAACAUUCAGUCCAUGACACUUGGUUAUUGAGUGAGGGUGGGAUUUAAAUGCAGAUCUAAUUGACUGGAAAGUCUGCUUUUCUUACAUCACGUUGCCUAAUCCUUCCUGAGCACUUCUGUUCAUUGAUCAAAAUAUUUAGUGAACAUCUGCCGUGUGUUUGGUGCUGUGCUGAGCAUCCCCGAGGGACGGAGACACAAAUAAGAGACAGUUCCUGCCCUCAAGCAUCUAGAAUCAAGUGAGCCGUCUAGUCUAUAAUACAUCCCCAGCAUGGAGUGGGAUUAUAACACAGCUCCACCACCACACACACACACACACUCACACUCACACACACACACCCCGUUUUGGACUUUCUCACACAGACAUUUGUCUUAUUCUUCUCAUUAAAGAAACUUGCCAGCUGCCAGGCAGGAUGGGCCACUGCCAAGCGUGAAAAGCAUGCGUUGACCCAUCUGGCCUUGGUUGACAUUGGUACUAUUGUUCACAGUUGGAUUUCACUUAAAUUUGGAUCUUAAUUGUCACUUUAAAAAAUCUUCAAAAAGAUCACCCUAUGUUGCAGGGCUAAAAUGGUAAGACGUCACUGUAGAAGCCUGGCCGUCACACGUCGGCGAUGCAGCCGAAGGGCAGCAGGAACUGCCACGUCUCUGAGCUCUCCCAGCAGUGUCAGAGCCAAGCCCAGGACUCACUCAGGCAUUUGAAGGACGAGCAUUCAGGUGGAGAACACACAGCUCUAUCAGAAGCUUCCAGACGACUUUCUAGAGAAGGUGUGAUACUUCCAGUGGUAUCUUAUUCAGCUCGGGAAUAUAUGAACUACAAGUUUAACCACAUCGGUGAAAUGUCUCAAAAUGAUCUCCAUCACAACAGUGCCUAAGAGAUUAUUCUCAGCGUCAGUACCCUGGUCGUUUCCUUUGCUAUAGUUCCCAUAAUUUGAAAUUACUUUAUUUGCUUGUCUUUGUUUCGCGAUGAGGUUAUCUUUUCAUUGUUGUUUCUCCAGCACAUGGCAAAAUGCCUCAAGCAGAGUCGGGUUGCGGGAAGCAGAAGCUUCUGAGAUGCUGUAUACCCACCGUGGCCAGGACGAUUUACAACUCUUUCUUUAGUGUCUGGGAGAAGCUUGGUCUCAAAAGUUUUAUUGUGACGCUGAAAAAAAUAAGUGCUAUGUUGUUGUCUAAAUAAAUAUACGCUACUGUGAGUUUUUUAGAACACAGAGUUAUGAAGACGUGAUUUUUUUUUUCUGAAAAAAAUUUUAUUAGCUUUACAGAUACUAUUUGGUGUUAAUUUUUAUGACUUGGCAGUUUCUCUUACUCAGUGGCAUCACAGAAUGAAGGAAACAGUAUAACAAGAGUAAAAGACCUUUAAAUAUUUUAAAGCUUUAAAUCAGAGAUUGUAAUAUUUGGGAAUCUCUUCAAACGACUCUCCCAACAUCUCUAACCCAUUAACAAAAAACUCUCAUUAGAUAAUGUGUACUUUCCAAAUAAUUUGAAAUCACCUUGAUAGGGCUUGUAGGCAAAUCAUCACUGUGGCUGGAAAGGAAGAUGCGAGCAAAUGUGCUGUAAUUGUACUGAAAGGAGCUGGUCCGAGGGGGUCCUCUCUGGGCGGCUCCCUGCAUCGUGAGCUCUGUGGGUGGCAUCGGCUUUGGAAUAGGAGAGCCUUUUUGAACGGUGAUGUCACGCUUACCUUGGGCAGGUGAUGUGUCCUCUCUGGGUUUCAGCUUCCUCGUCUGUGAAGUGGGGAAGAGAACUGCCAAUCCCCAGACACGAGGAGGAACCCGCAGGUCUCACACUCAGUGGCGCCCGCCGUACACGGCCCUUGUCUUGGUCCACUCGGGCUGCUGGAACAGAACACCGUCCACUGGGUGGCUUCUGAACAACACACAUUAAUUGCUUACAGUUCUGGAGGCUGGCAAGCCCAAGAUCAAGGCCUGGCAGAUUGAGUGUCUGGUGAGAGCCCCCUUCCUCACAGAGGGUCAUCUUCUCACUCUGACCUCACGUGGCAGAAGGGAGCAGCUAGCUCUCUGGGGUCUCCUUUAUAAGGGCACAAAUCCCAAACACGAGGGCUCUGCUCUCAUGACCUAAUCACCUCCCAAGGGCCCCACCUCCCAACACCGUCACAUCGGGCCUCAGGUUUCCACACAAGAAUUUGGAGGGGGUGGGGUACCAACGUGUGCAGACCGUAGCAGCACUCCCUCCUGACUCCCUUCUGGAACACCUGAACCAGUGGCGAACCCCUUCAGCAAUUUGUAAGGCUGGCGAGAGCACCACCGCUAUUUCACUCGCAUCAUCUCUAGAACAGCGCUCCUCCUCCGGGGCUUUUAUUCCAUCAACGUUUCCCUCUUUUUCCUUUUCUCCACACUUUGUACUUUUGUCUACUGUUUCCUGCCUCUGCUUCUUCAGAAACCUCCUUCCCAACGUCACCCCUUAGGACACAGUCCACGCUCACUUGGAUCUUGGGCCACCGCGGACACUUGAGAGGUUGCUGAACCCUUGGACCUCAUUUCAUAAAGGGCCACGUUUAAGUCACCUCCCAUCAAUUCUUUUCCGUAUCGGGGUAAAUUCAAAACAUGCUGUAAAAAAUAUAAAGUUCUUCCUCAAACAUGUUCUCCAAACAUUAGGGACCCACUUAAACAAGGCCAAAUGAAAUUAUGCUAGAUUCAAUCAGCACGAUGACGGUCUCGCUUAACUCCACACGUUGGGUAUUCACCUUUAGGGCCUCUUUCCCAAGCAAUGUGGAGACACACAGUGGAAGGUCAGAUCAUCUAUGGUCCCACAGAGCCGAAGGGGCUCGCUGUACAGGAUUCUUUGUAUUAUAUGCUGUGCGUUCAAAGUCUCACCUUAGAGAAGUACAGGAAGCAUGUUCUGCCUUACGUCAAUGUCCUGGAAAGGCAAGGACCUAGAAGCACAUUAGGGCUAUGUCAGAGUCCUACUUUGGAAUGAGAGAAUGUUCAAGAUGGAAGGCACUAGAACACUCCUACAACUCCCUCAUUUAUAAAUGAGAGACCCAGAUAAUCAUGAUGUGCCCUACCAGAAUUACAUGCCAAUAAGUGCUGUAACAGGCAAUUUUUUUUUAUUGAGUUCAUAAUAGUUUACAUCAAUGUGAGAUUUCAGUUGUACAUUAUUUCCUGACUGCCACCAUAUAAGUGCUCCCCUUCACCCCUGGUGCCCCUGCCCCACCCCACUUCCCCUGGUAACCACUGAACUGUUUUCAUUGUUUAUAUUCCACAUAUGAGUGAAAUCAUCUGGUGUUUGUCUUUCUCAGACUGGCUUAUUUCGCUUAGCAUAAUUCUCUCUAGGUCCUUCCAUGUUAUUGCAAAUGGGAUGAAUUUGUCUUUUUUUCUGGCUGAGUAGUAUUCCAUUCUACAUAUAUACCACAUCUUUAUCCAAUCAUCGGUCGAUGGGCACUUGGAUUGUUUCCAUGUCUUGGCUGUUGUGAAUAGUGCUGCAAUGAACAUAGAGGUGAAUAUGUUACUUCGGAUUGUUGAUUUCAAAUUGUUUGGGUAGAUACCCAGUAGUGGGAUAGCUGGGUCAUAUGGUAGGUCUAUUUUUUAGUUUUUUGAGGAAUCUCCAUACUGUUUUCCACAGUGGCUGCACCAGUUCGCAUUCCCACCAGCAGUGUGUGAGGGUUCCCUUCUCUCCACACCCUCUCCAACAUUUGUUGUUUUUAGUCUUAGUGAUUAUAGCCAUUUUAACAGGUGUAAGGUAUCUUAGUGUAGUUUUGAUUUGCAUUUGCCUGAUGCUUAGUGAGGUUGAACAUCUUUUCAUGUGUUUAUUGGCCAUCUGUGUAUCUUCUUUGGAAAAAUGUUCAUCUCCUCUGCCCACUUUUUGAUUGAGUUCUUUGCUUUUUUAUUGUUCAUUUGUAACAGACAAUUUUUGUUUUUGGGUGACUGCUUAGGAUUAGACAAUUCUAUUUAGAACCAUUGUGCAAGGCAACUAAAUUCAAGACAUCCAAUUCAUCCAAUUUAUUUUCUUUUAGAAAUCUGAGUACCCUUACCAAAAGCUAGUAUUCACUGAGCUUCAACUAAGGAUAACUUGAUGGAAAGAAUUUGUGUUGAGCAAUAGAAUUUAAAAUCUGAUGCAAAUUGAUCAACGUGCACUUUCUUCCUUGUUUACUUACCUAUCUGGUCUUUCUUCCUUGAUAAAUAAAUAAGUAACUGUUACCAUAAAGCCUUGUGCUCAGCACCUCAUAUUUCACCUCUGUAGUCAACCUCAGUCAUCAGAGUUAAGCAUCCAUAUCUGUCUCUACAGAUGAGGAAACUGAGGUUCAGAAAAGUGAGGUAACCUGCUGUGGUCCCACAGUAAACACCAGUCUUUAUUGUAACAUGUACGUUAUGCCACCUCCAAACAUACACGACCCCUUCCAGCACAGACAGCAGUGCUUCUGUGCUCUAAGAUGCGUAUCC
rnacentral:lncRNA from 1 species